UGUAGAGAGAGAUAAGGUUUUCCACAGGCCUCCUUUUCUGCAGGCUAAACACUCCUUGCUCCCUCAGGUCCUCCUCAUCAGACUGUGCUGCAGACCCUCCACGUCCUUCUUGUGAGCAAGGAGCCCAAAACUGAAUACAAAUGCAGCAAAUCAGAGUUAUGUGUGACUCCUUCCAACAACAAAAUCUGAAGGCUGGUUCUUUGCUGUGUAAAUGCAGUAUAUGAUACAUCACCAUCACCCCAGAGUGGGUGUUUACCUACUGCUGCACAGCUCAAUAAAUCUCU
rnacentral:lncRNA from 1 species